rnacentral:rRNA from 1 species
UGACAGGUGGUGCAUGGUUGUCGUCAGCUCGUGUCGUGAGAUGUUGGGUUAAGUCCCGCAACGAGCGCAACCCUUAUUGUUAGUUGCCAUCAUUUAGUUGGGCACUCUAGCGAGACUGCCGGUGACAAACCGGAGGAAGGUGGGGAUGACGUCAAAUCAUCAUGCCCCUUAUGACCUGGGCUACACACGUGCUACAAUGGGAAGUACAACGAGUCGCUAGACCGCGAGGUCAUGCAAAUCUCUUAAAGCUUCUCUCAGUUCGGAUUGCAGGCUGCAACUCGCCUGCAUGAAGCCGGAAUCGCUAGUAAUCGCGGAUCAGCACGCCGCGGUGAAUACGUUCCCGGGCCUUGUACACACCGCCCGUCACACCACGAGAGUUUGUAACACCCGAAGUCGGUGAGGUAACCUUUUUGGAGCCAGCCGCCUAAGGUGGGAUAGAUGAUUGGGGUGAAGUCGUAACAAGGUAGCCGUAUCGGAAGGUGCGGCUGGAUCACCUCCUUUCUAAGGAA